GACGAACGCUGGCGGCGUGCCUAAUACAUGCAAGUCGAGCGAAGUUUUUCUGGUGCUUGCACUAGAAAAACUUAGCGGCGAACGGGUGAGUAACACGUAAAGAACCUGCCUCAUAGACUGGGACAACUAUUGGAAACGAUAGCUAAUACCGGAUGACAGUAUUUCUCGCAUGAGAGAUAUUUAAAAGUUGGUUAUGCUAACACUAUGAGAUGGCUUUGCGGUGCAUUAGCUAGUUGGUGGGGUAAAGGCCCACCAAGGCGACGAUGCAUAGCCGACCUGAGAGGGUGAUCGGCCACACUGGGACUGAGACACGGCCCAGACUCCUACGGGAGGCAGCAGUAGGGAAUCUUCCGCAAUGGGCGAAAGCCUGACGGAGCAACGCCGCGUGAGUGAAGAAGGA
rnacentral:rRNA from 1 species